rnacentral:antisense_RNA from 1 species
AUGUUAAAGAGGAAGCACAUCUUUAGUUUCCAGUAACUGGCAUUUGGUUAUGGGGUGGCUGUUUUUCUACGUGGAACAAGCAGGGUCCCAGUUCAAGUUUCUGCUGCGUAUCUGAUAAUCUUGAGGUAUUUAUGAAGGACUCCUUUGAAAGUUCUCUACUGAGUUUCCUUAAGGAAUUCCUUAAGGAAUCCUUAAGGUAUAUUUAAUGACCUCCACCAUGUCUAAGAACAAGCAGCUAUUUCUGUAGAGAAAGAUCACCUUUGGAUAACAAUACAUGAUUUUAGGCUCUAAAAGUUAAAACGUGUUUGUAACGUUGAUAUUAUGCAGAGGUCUUGACAGAACUUAGCAGUCUCUGAGGCUACAGAGAAGUGUGAAAAAGAGCAUAGAGAUUUCAGAAGGAGGCAGAUUCAGUCAGACAUACUGAAUCCUGUUUGAUCUCAAUUCAGGCACACUCCAGAUGGAUGUAUUGAACAGCACACUGGAGUUUUUGUCCAGAAGUUUGACUUUAGAAGAUAAGAAAUAACUGAGCGUAUUACAAGCAGGAGUUAGAGGAAGAGACUCAGUACAGAAGAGACAGGAACAAAAGUUCACCUCCAUUAGAUGGGAAAGGAUACAGAUCAAGAGCUCAGGAAAAGUAGGAGAAAGAAGCUCUAUUCCAGAAGCAGUGUGGAGCACAAAGAAUCCCUAAUCCCUGACAUUAAGAAAGAAGAAAAAUAUUCCUAGGACGAUCCUGGAGAGCAAAGGUCAUUAGCAGUCACUUGACUUUCCUUGGAUUUCUCAACUGCAGUAGUCACACGGUCUGCUG